AUGGCUGCCAUAAUUUCUAUCCAAGCAGAGGAAAUAGAGGUGAACUAUAGAGUGAGAGCCAGUUUCCUCUCUGCUGUACAAUCUAGGAGAAAAAAACCUUUACCCAAGGACAAAUCAGAUCACGAAGAGCCCUGUGGUCCCAAUCACAGGUCAUUUUGCCUGAAUGGAGGGAUUUGUUAAGUGAUACCUACUAUUCCCAGCCCAUUUAGUAGGUAAGUGAAAUGGACUGAGGUGGGGAAGGGUAAUUUUAUUUUUUAUCGUCUACUAACUUCUUUGAGAAGUGGUUAAUAUUGAACAAAAAGUAUAAGAUGAAAAAAUAUGAGGAAUUAUCUUCAUAGUUACAUAGAACGAGAUUAUACGUUUAAAACAAAAAACAAAGUAGCAAAUCAGUUUUGCUCAAAGUGUUUGUUUUGAAAACUGGUGGUAGUUUCAAGCCUAGUCCGAUUUUUACAAUUUUUACAAUGUUCAUUUCAGUGAACUCUGUAUGAUUUUAGCAAUUUAGGGAAGACACUCUGUGUUUAAUAAUAUUACUGACAAAACAGAUAAUUCACUAGUGUAAAAAAGUCCAACACGAGACGUUUUGCUCUGGGUUUCGAAUACAUAAAUACAUGAUAGCUGUGUUGGUACCAAAGUUUACGUUUGAUAUAUUAAAAAGAAAAGCAUUAGGUUUUUCUAAGGGUGUCAUCAAGUAAAAAAAGAAGGCUGUCCCAGCUACUAUUGUUUUAAAUAAAAUGAUUCACAUUGGGAGUAUAUACGUAGCCACAUCAAUAAAAGACUUGAAAAUAGUACUUAUUUAGCUGGCUUCUUUUGAGUUUGGUUGAGUGCAAUUUAAGAGGGACAUAAUAAACCUCUAUUAAUUUAUUUAUUUAAGAUAAAAAAUUUUAUGAAAGAGAGCAAGAGCAAGCAUAAGUGGGAGUGGGAGGAGCAGAGGGAGAGGGACAAGCAGAUUCCCUGCUGAGCAGGAAGCCCGACACGGGGGGCUGAUUCCAGGACCCUGAGGUAUGACCUGAGCCAAAGGCAGACGUUCAACCAACUGAGCCACCCAGGUGUCCUAAUAAUCCUCUUUUAAUACAUGAAUUAGCAGCAUAUUACUAUAAUGACACCGUGGACUUUAGUGGAGCAAACACCUAAGGAUCUCAGGAUAUUGUGGCACGUGCAUGAAUUGCUCUAUUUUUAUUCUUUAACUGAAAUGAGAGGUAUAGAAUCUAGAUUUAAGAUCUUUCUAAAGUGAAAUUCAUAGGAAAAGUGAAAAAUAUUGAGGUUUAGUAUGGAAGAGAGGAGGCAGAGAAAUAAUCUCAUGAUUAUUUCAAGAUGUUCUUAGAGGUUUUCCUAUGGGAAAUAGUGACUAAGUGUUUUUCCUGUCAAGUUAAUAAAGUGGAAAAGCGGGGAUACAAGAACAAAUCAUCCAUUGUUUUGUACCCACUAGGUGCCUCUACAUUUUUCUUUUUAAAAUCUAUUUACUAAGAUAUAAUUUAUGAAUGAUAUAUUGCAUCCUUAAAAGUGCACAACUGAGGGAUUUUGACAGAUGUUUAUACCUGUGAAACCACCACCACCAUAACAACAUCAGAACAUUUCUAUUAUUCCACAUUUGCUGAUCAUAUUUUUAAUUUGUAUUUUCAUGUUUCAUCUCACAAAAACCUAAGAGAAGGGGAGAGAAAACCUAAGGAAAUAGAAAAAUAAGAGGAAAAUAAGAAGUGACUUGCCAAAGGCCAUACAAGUAGGAUUAAAGAGAUGUCCUUGGAGUACAACUUCCAAGUUUCACCUAAUCUUAUGGUAUAUUCAUUCUGAAUUCUUUCUAAUGGGAUAGGAUAUGUGGCAUUCAUAAAAUGAAACCAAAAUACUCAUCAGAACAAAUACAUUUCAUAAUUAAAAGAUACUGACAUUUUGUAUAUUGAUCGUAGUGAGGGCUACUUGGAUUAAAAAGACUGUCCUUUCUCCAUUGAAUUACCUUUGCACCUUUGUCAAAAAUCAAUUGAUCAUAUAUGUGUGGAUCAAUUUCUGGAUUAUUUUAUUUCAUUGAUCUAUGUUUUCAUGUUUUAUGAAUACCAGACCAUCUUGAUAACUAACUUUAUAAUAAGUGAAAUCAGGUCAUGUGAGUCUUUAGCUUUGUUUUUCAUCUCAUUGAUCUUCAGUUUUCUUUUCUAAAAGACAGUACUUAAUGUUAAAUUUUUCCAAACAUAUUUUAGCUGCGUCUUACAAAUUUUGUAGUUCAUUUCUCAGUUAAACAUUUUUUUUCCAUUGUGAUUUCUUCUUUAACCUGAGUGGGGUUGUUGUUGUUUUUGCGUUAUCCUUUAACAUUUAUAUCUAAUUUAAUUGCAUUAUGGUCAUGGUAGGUACUUGGUCUAUCCAGCUUUGCCCUUAAUAUUUUUCCGCAUACUAAAGGUGUUUUUAUACUGCACUGAAUAAACUGAAAGAAAGAAUUAAGAGUACUGAAAUUUGGAGAAUCACUGAGAUAGGAAGAAAUGUAGUGUCUUAACUCAGGCUGCUAUAUAGCAAGAAACCCAUAGGCUGGGUGGAUUGUGAACAAUAGAAAUUUAUUUCUCACAAUUGUGGUGGCCAGAAAUCUGAGAUCAAGGUGCCAGCAUGAUUGGGUUUUGGUGACU
rnacentral:lncRNA from 1 species